GUUUCUCUCUCUAUCUGUAUUGAACGGCCCCCUCUGUUCAUCAACUUUACUAAACACUGAUCUUCUCUCUCAAGUGACGGAUACUGUGAAGAUCUUUCACCGAAGAAUUCCUUGCGCAAAUCUUUUACAAGCUUUCCUGAAACUCCUAUUCCCUCGAUUUGGUAUCAAAUGAAGUUUGAAUGCUGACAAACAGAUGCCUGGAUUACAUUGAAGUAUCACUUACCUGAGCUUUUUCGGUUUCCAUCGAAGAACCACUCUUGAGUUUUUUUUACUUCUAUUGAAGGUUGUUGCGAUGAAUUUAUAUGAUUUACCUGGCUUCAGGUUUCACCCCACUGAUGACGAGCUCAUUUCACAUUACCUUACAAAAAAGAUUAAUGGAAAAGGGGAUGUGCAGGUUAUACCGGAGGUUGACAUGUGCAAGUGCGAGCCAUGGGAUUUGCCUGGCAAGUCCCCAAUUAAAACCAGAUAUCCAGAGUGGCACUUCUUCUGCCCCCGUGAUAUAAAGUACCCAAAUGGGCGGCGAUCUAAUAGAGCCACUGCAGCUGGUUACUGGAAAGCAACAGGAAAGGCCCGAAAAAUCAAAUCCAAGUUUCAUGGGUUUUUGAUUGGUACGAAGAGAACACUGGUUUUCCAUGAGGGACGAUCUCCCAGAAAAAGAACUCCUUGGAUAAUGCAUGAGUACCGUGUUGAUGGACAUGCUCUUCAGGAUUUGAAUGGCUCUCAGGAUGCCUAUGUCCUGUGCCGCCUUUUCAAUAAGGAUGGUUUGAAUGAGAAGAGCGAUGAUCCACGCUAUGAUGGGGUGGAGCUGAGUGACUUAUCGCCUAACCCUAGCAAGUCUUCUGCUGCUAGGACAGUGAUCGAUGGAGAACAUGGAGAGCAAUUCGACCAGACCUCAAAGUUGGAUGUUAAGGAGACAAAUGUGCAAGAAACCUCAUCACCUAAAAUAAUGGAUUCAAACUAUUUAACUAAGUUUUUGUUAGAGUUGCUGGCUACUGAUGAUUCUCUCCAACCAAUUGAGAGUGAGCAGCACUAUAAGGGUGAUGAAGAGCAGGAAGCCUCAGAUUUGUUUCACGUGCCCAACUACGAGCCACUUGUUCUUGAAAAUCACAUGCCUUCCUCAUCUAGCUUUUGUAGUAAUCCUGGCACAUUUGAUGAUGGGGGUUUCGAAGCAAGCAUGGAGGGUUGGGAUGGAUUAGGUGUUGUUAACUCGUACAGACCCUCUUCUGUCCCAAGAUCUGAAUCUUUUGAUGAUCUUUUGAAUUUUGAUGAAGGUCAAGUGGGAGAAUGGGAUGGUGGUCAUAUUCCUUCAAUUAACUUUAUAGGUCAUUGUGAGUCUGGAAUUGUGAGACGUGAGCGUCAACCGGUUCCUCGGGACAACGUUCGAUUCCAGGGCGCUGCAUCGAGGAGAGUUUGCCUACAAAUGCUAAGUAUUGGAGGAGCGUUCCAUGAGGCAGAAGAACAUGAGGAGACACAGAAGGAUGGAGGCACGUUAGUUGCUGUGCUCCAGGGCUUGGAGGAUGAGACCGAGAUGUCAGUGCAAGUGAAAGAUACUCCUCCAGUUAGAUUGCUGCCAGCUGCAGAAGUUGAGGAAGGUCUGCAACAGGAGAGCUACCCAUGUGGUGCCCAAAUCAAAUUUAUUCAACCUCUGCGUCAGCAUGCCAAGAAGAGAGUUCUUUGUAGAAGCCCAACGAGGGCCAUGGGCAUUGAUUCUUUGGAGGAGAGAAAAGUGGAUGCUGAUCCUUUGGAGGAGAGAGAAGUUCUUGAGAGAGACAUGUGGCCCAUGUCUAGAAUGAUACAUGUACCUGAUUCUGACUCAGAAAGCAGCAACAAGAGUGGCAUGGCGGAGCCGAGACUAGGCGCCCUGAAUGUCAAUGUAGAAGAAAUCGACACCAAGUCAAGUAGAGGCAUCACUAAACCCAAUCCAUUGCGAAUACCGAAGUCCUUGAAGAUUGGUUGUGCUGUGAUUCUUGCUAUCGUUGCAAUACUGGUCAUCAUGGUUCUCAUCUUUGUCAAGGGUGAUAAGGAGCAGGAAGCCUUGGAUUUGUUUCCCGUGCCCAACUACGAGCCACUUGUUCUCGAGAAACCAAUUCACGUGCCUCCCUCAUCAAGCGUUUUCAGUAAUCUUGGCAAAUUUGCUGGUAAGGGUUUUGAAGCGAGCACAGGGGACUUGGAUGGGUUAAGUGUUGUUAACCCGCACAGAUCCUCUUCUGUCUCAAGUGAUGAAUUUUUUGAUAACCUUCUCAAUUUUGAUGAAAAUCAUAUGGGAGAAUGGAAUGGUGGUCAUAAUACUUCAAUUAAAGGUGAUAGUGAGACUGGAAUUGUGAGAAAAGAGCGUCAAACCUGUUCCUAGGUACAACCCUCCCGUUUUCCCAUUCCAGGGCACUGCAUCAAGGAGUAUUUGCCUACAAAAGCCAAGUAUUGGAGGAGCGUUCCAUGAGGCAGAAAAGAGCAGGAGAGAGAAGGAUAGUGGCACUUUAGCUGCUGUGCUCCAGGGCUUGGAGGAUGAGACUGGUACUCUCCAAAUCACAACAUUCAUUUUAACCAAGGAGGGACUAAUGCCAUCUCUAGAGAUGUCAGUGCAAGUGAAAGAUGCACCUCCAGUUACAAGUCUGCAAGCUGCAGAAGUUGAGGAAGGUCUGCAACAUGAGAGCUACCCAUGUGGUGCCCAAAUCAAAUUAAUUCAACCUGUGCAACUUCAUGCCAAGAAGAAAGUUCUUCAUGGAAGCCCAACGAGGGCUAUGAGUGGUGAUCCUUUGGAGGAGAGAAUAGUGGAUGCUGAUCCUUUGGAGGAGAGAGAAGUUCUUGAGAGAGACAUGCAGCCCGUGUCUUGAAUGAUACAUGUACCCGAUUCUGACUCAGAAAUACCCGAUUCUGACUCAGAAAGCAGCAACAAGAGAGGCAUGGUGGAGCCGAGACUAGGCACUAGGAAUGACAAUGUAGACGCCAACUCAAGUGGAGGCAUCACUAAACCCCAUCCGUUGCGAGUACCGAAAUCCUUGAAGAUUGGUUGUGCUGUGGUUCUUGCUAUCUUUGCAAUACUGCUCGGCUUUCAUCUUUGUCAAGGUUUUCUUCACCUAUUCAAAAUCAUCGACCUCUGUUGCCUUACGACAUGAUAACUAUAUGCUCACUGUGCUGUGCAUUGUGCAGUGAACAGCCUAAAAGACCUCAUUUUAGAUUUUGUAAGUUAUUCUGUACCUUGCCAAGUUUAGUUGGGAGUCCUUCAAGCCUUGGAUGCCUCCACGAAGCCAAACCCAUGUACAGUUUUGGAUGCAUGCCCUCCAAGAAGCGGAACUCAUGUACAAUUUUGUUUAAACGAUGUUUGUUAGUAUUAAAAAAAUUGACUUGGCGUAGCU